rnacentral:lncRNA from 1 species
ACAUGCUUUGCCCAGCUCAGCCUACAUGCCCUCUCCCGAUGUCAGUUACCAGGCUUUGCUAAUAAAACGUCUCUCCCGGCUCUUCCAGAGAGCCAGCCGCAGAGUCUCUGCCGUCUCCCCGUGCGCUCAAGCACAAGCCCCCAACUAAAAGCCUUGUCUGGAAAAUCUGCUUGGUGCCAUAACAGAUUAUCUGGUGAGCCAGGUAGGAGCACAAGGAGUAAUUUCCCUCCCUGCAGGGGAGGCUUGUGAGCCUGCGAGCCGGAGGGAGGCCCCACUGAUUCAGCGCUGCCACCGCGACUGGCGAGUUUUCCUCUAGUCUCGCGACUGGACACUGGUCAGUAGAACCUGGACCUGCUGUAAGGCUGAAGAAGAAAAAGAAACCAUCCAAGCUGGCACUCGGUUUUGGGGAGUUCUCUUCACUGCUCACGCCGGCCCUCUUGUGUGACCUGUACUGUUGUGCUGUGUGGGGCUGGGAGCCAACUCUCUUUUCGUCGCCUGACACCUGUGCUUGCACCCUGCCCCUGGUCCUUUAAUAAGACAAGCAGACACAGGGGCUACAGUCAUGGGCAAUGCCCCAGGCAUCUUCCAAGACUCACACCUGGGAUGUAUCAUUUCUAAAUGGAAGGAAUCCAAAUCAGAUGGUUUAAAGAAAAAGAAACUCCAGCCUGGGAAACAUAGGAAGACUCCACCUCUACAAAAAACAGGAAAAAUGAGCCGGGUGUGGGGGUGCCUUCCUGGGGUCUCAGCUACUCAGAAGGCUAAAGUGAGGAUCGCUUAAGUCCAGGAGGUUGAGGCUGCAGUGAGUUGUGGUAAUACCAUAGCACUCCAACCUGGGCAAUGGAGUGAGACCCUGCCUCAAAAUCAAAUUUUUUUUUUAAUUAAAAAAAAAGAAACUGAUUUUCCUCUGUAAUACAACCUGCCCUAGUACACAUUAGAUCAAGAAAAAUGGCCAUGGGCAGAAGUGGAUCUCCUAGUUUUAACACUAUCUUACCGCCCGACCUAUUCUGUGAAUGGACAGAGAAAUGGGGAGAGAUACCUAGCUACAAGCUUUUAUGAAGUUAUGCUAGGACCCAGAGCUACUGGAUUCUUGUCAGGUGUGUGUGGCCCCUAUUUCCAGGUUCCUCCUGAAGGAACCUGAAGAAGCGGACCUCCACAGCCUCAGGCCCCGAGCACUCCCUCCCUACCCUAAGCAGGCCUCCUGGGGAGGGGAGCCCCUGUGCUGUCCCCAACAGCGCUCCAAUCGGACUCCAAACAGGCACCCUCUUUUGCUUCCCCACUGGCCCAGGGCUGUUUUCCCCUCAGAGAAAUGGAUGGAAACGGGGGAGUGACAAGGAUCCAAGUUCCUUUUUUUGGUGGUGGAUCUAGGACUAUGUAAAAAACACUUUGGUAGAUUUUCAGAGGAUCCUGGUAAGUUUAGAGAUGAAUUUGUUAAACUAAAUCUUGCCUUUUCAUUGACGUGGCAGGAUGUUAUGGUCACUUUGCAGUACUGAUGAAAAGCAACACAUAUUUGGAAAGGCUAAGGAAUAUGCCAAUAGCCAGGUGGUCACUAAAGACCAAUAUGCAGUCAUCUGUUUAGGGGGAGAUGCGGUCCCAGGCAUAGUCUCCACGUGAGUGAGACUAUGGAGAAAACCUAGAAAAAGCUAGAAUGAGCCACUUUGUCACCUGCCUGACUGAAGGAAGAAGGAAAUGUAUAGUAAAACCUGUACACUAUGACAGGGUCAAGAAAAUUACCCAGAGAAAGAAGGAGAUCCCAGUAGUCUUCCUCAAUCGAGUCCCUGAGGCCCUUGGGAAAUGCACCCAUGCAGACCCAGAGGCAGCAGAGGGGAAGCAUCGCGUGCCAUGCAUUUUAUCCUUCAGUCAGCUCCGGACAUUAGAAGGAAAUUACAGAAAAUUUGGAGGCCAGACCCCAGACCCUGCUGUUGACUUUGGCAGAGGCGGCUUUUAAGGUUUUCAAUAACGGACAGGACACAGAUGGCAGGUAAGAAGAGGAGACUGACCAAGACAGCACAGCUUCUGGCUGCCCUAAUUCAUCCACCAUCUCAGGGUGACCCUAGGAUUCUCAGGAGACCAACUAAUCGAAGACAGCCAACCUUGGAUGGAGCCAAUGUGCCUACUGCAGGAUGGAGGGGGUCACUGGAAGAGAGGCUGCCCUGACCUCCUUAAAACAGGACAGCCGGCAGGCAACCCUGGCCAGCCGCCACUCCUCACCAAGCUUUCAGAUGAGAUUGAUACACACCGCCUGACAGCACCCUGGCUCUGACUGCAGCACACUCCAUCGUCAUCACACCACGGAGCCUCAGGUCACCCUUGAUGUGGCAGGUAGGAAAACAGUUCCUCGUGGACAGCAGAGCUGCCUGCUCGGUCCUGACCCAGCCUAUUUGCCUCCUCUCCAAUUGCAAUUGCAGGGUAAUGGGAAUAGACAGGUGUCCUAAGGUAAGAAAAUUUACUUUCCCUCUUGCUUGUGAGGCCAUGUCUAGGCUUUUUUCUCCUCAUUUCUGUAUGCCCCCCGGAAUGUCCUACUCCAUUGCUGGGUAGAGACUUAUUAAGCAAAAUGGGAGCCACCAUCUCCCUGGAAGAGGACAGACUGCAGGUAGAGGCAGAGCCAGAACAGGGAAUCCACCUGCUAGCACUCUUAAAUGGACAGGAACUUGAGACCCAAAACAUACCCAAAGAAAGCAAGGAUCACAUCACCCCUUCCCUAUCGGACACUUCAGUCCUAGGACAGGCUAAUAAAGUUCCGCCAGUAAAGACAGACCUGAAGCCUGGGAUGGGCUAUCCAUGGAGGAAAUCAUACCUCCUAAAACCUGUGGCACUGAAUGGGGUUCAGCCAUUACUCCACAAAUUCCUAUAGCAAGGGCUAAACCCUGCCAGUCCCCAGGCAACACCUCGGUCCUCCCUGUUAAAAAGCCUAAUGGAGAAUAUCAGUUUGUGUAGGACUUGAAGGGGGUUAAUGAGGCAGUCAUUCCCAUCCACCCAACACUGGUCCCAAGCUUGUCUGUGCUCAGAUACCUGGAGAUGCUCAGUUUUUCACUCUACUACACUUCAAGGAUGCUUUCUUUUGUGUAGCCCUCUCCACCCAGAAUCCCUGUAUCUUUUUGCUUUGAAUGGAGAAAUCUCUGAUACCCAGAAAGCCACAUAGUACACAUGGACUGUGCUUCCCCAGGGCUUCUGGGAAGGCCCCCACCUUUUUGGGAAUGCAGGGAGCUAAGCCUACAGAAUGGGACUUUUAUUACAAUAUGUGGAUGACUUGUUCAUUGUCAGCCAAACAUGGCAGGAUUCAGAUUUUAAUAUCAUUAAAACCUUGAAUUUCCUGGCUGAGCGGUGAUACAAGGUCAGCCCCAUCCAAGGCCCAGAUUUCUUUACAGAAGUUCCGAUAUCUGGGGUUCAUUCUGACCCCAGGAGCCCGAACACUAGUUGUGGACUGGAAAAAGCAAUCACUUCAUUGCUGGUCCCACAAACAAAAAGGCAGCCCCAGGGUUUCUUGGGAAUGGUGGGCUUCUGUAGUAUUUGGAUUCCAAAUUAUGGCCUGACGGCUAAACCCCUAUGUGAGACCCAAAAGGGGGAAGAAAGAGAGCCCUUGUACUGGGAGAAGAAAUGUCAACAAUCUUUUGAACCUCUAAAAACUGAGCUGGGUCAAGCCCUUGUCCUUGGACUCCCUGAGAAAAACCACUUACCUUGUAUGUUUGUGAGAGACUAGGAAUAGCUUUGGGAGUCUUAACUCAAAGGUUAGGACCUGUUCAGAAGCCAGUGGCUCAUUUUUCGAAACAGACAAAUCCAGUUGCACAGAAGCGGCCUGGCUGCUGGAGGGCAGUGGCAGCCACUGCCCUGCUGUUUAGUGAAGCAUCUAAGCUGACACAGGGACAAUAUACAGAAGCUAUGACUCCCCACCAGGUUCAGACUGGGUUAGAAGUCAAGGGACACCAUUGGCUCACUGCAGGGAGGCUGACCAACUACCAAGCUCUCUUAUUAGACACCCUGGAUAUUACUUUAAGGGUAUGUCAGACUUUGAACACAGCAACCUCACUCCCAACCACAGAUGAUGAGGACUCACAGCAUCAAUGCACAGGGCCCACAAAACAGACUCCAGCAGGCCUAGCUUGUGAGAUAAGCCUCUUGAGAAUGCAAAGACGGAAUGAUAUCCUGAUGGCAGUAGCUUUGUGGAGGGAGACCCAAAAGGCAGGACAUGCAGUAGUAAGCCUGAAGGAGACUACAGAAACUAAAGCCCUUCCUCCCCAAAAUGGCACAAAAAGCAGCACUAGAGGCCUUAACAGAGCCUCACAACUGGGAGAAAGGGAGGGAGUAAAUUUAUACACCAACUCAAAGUAUAGGUUUCUCCUGCUGUGUGCCCAUGCAGCCAUAUGGAAGGAAAAGGGAAUGUUAACAGUUAAAAAUUCCCCAGGCAAACGUAAGGAUCCAAUCCAACUUCUCCUGGAAGCGGCACAACUUCCCUGCCAGGUGGCAGUCAUUCACUGCAAAGGCCACCAGAGGGACUGGUCCCUCAUCAGCCAAGGAAAUAGGGCCACAAAACAGGCAACCUGGUUAUAGGAAUCCAGCAAUGUGUUGGCCUUAAUGACAGACCCUACCAACCUUCCUAAUCACCUACAAUACUCACAACAAGAGCAAGAGGAAGCUAAGGGGCAGGGGUACCAGGAAAACAGUGCUGGAUGGUUCACAGAUGGUGACAAGUUUUAUUCCAGGAACUGACCAGUUGAAAGUUACUAAGCAUCUCCAUGAUGCCACUCAUUAAUGGAGACAUGUUUUAUGGAAUUCUGUCCAUAAAAUAUUCACCAGAAAGAAACUAAGAAAAAGUGUAAAACAAGUAACCUUUGUCAGUGAAUUGUGUUCCCGAAAUAAUCCCCACACCCAUCCAAUUCCCCCUUCUUGACUUAAACUGGUUCAACACAGGGGAACUUAUCUGGGAGAAGACUGGCAGGUUGUUUUAACCCAAAUGACUCCAAAUCUAGGGUACAAAUAUCUCCUGGUGUUUGUGGAUACUUUUACUGGACGGGUCAAGGGUUUCCCUACCUGUACAGAAAAAGCAGUAGAAGUCUGUAAACCUUCACUAAAGGAAGUAAUUUCUCAAUUUGGACUCCCCAAGUCCCCUCAGAGUGGUAACAGGCUCUCCUUCAUGGGUAAGAUUACUCAGAGCCUCUCCACAACCUUAGGAAUAGAUUAUGAACUGGCACCCCAAUCAUCAGGGAAAGUUAAGAUGAACCAUACACUUGAGACGACUCUAGCCAAACUCUUUCAGGAGACGCACGAGUCCUGGGUUAAGAUGCUCCCAGUCUUCUCAGGGUCCGCAGGGCCCCUUCGUGCAGCCUAAGACUUAGUUCUUCUCAGAUGAUCUACCAGAGGCCUUUCCUCACCACUGACCUCCUGUUAGGUGAAGAAUUACAUAAAAAAUUACAGUAUCGAUUUAGGACAGAUUCAAAAGGUGACUUCAGAAUAUGGAAACAAAAUCCUGCCAGUCCCCACUAAGGAUGGGAAAACCCCUUUACAAGUUAAUCCAGGGGACCAAGUCCUCCUAAAGGCUUGAAGGGCAGGCUCCCCGGAGGACCACCCCUUGCUUAAAUGGGAGGGCCCUUACUGGGUGAUCCUGACCACUCCAACUGCAGCCAACUCACAAGGAAUCACUAGCUGGGUACACCUCUCCCGAUCAGAAAUGCUUUCUCCUAAAUGUUUCCAGACUCGCCCAGAUGGCCCAUUUUACUCCUGAAAACCUGUGGAAGACCUCAAAUUCAGGAGAGCCAAUUCAUCAUCGGAGAAGUAAUGUGGUUAGAGAUCUUGAGUCCAAUACUUUUCCUUGUAUUACUAAUUGGUUUACUAUUAUUCUGUUGCUUUGCUCAGCCUCCUCCCUCAGGUAAAGACUUCGUUUGUCCCUGCUGGGUAUAAAGAUGCUACUCUUUACUUUGUUCCUACUCCUCCCCAUCAGGGCACAGGGUAGGCUAGGCCUACUAAAAUGAG